rnacentral:SRP_RNA from 1 species
CCGUGCUAGGUGGGGAGGUAGCGGUGCCCUGUACCUACAAUCCGCUAUAGUAGGGCUGAUGCCUAUCCUAGGGUUUGUUCUGUUAAGGACUGAACCUCAAAAGUGGUGCUGAUAAUCAAGUCCUACGCAAUGGAAACUCAUGAACCCCGUCAGAUCCGGAAGGAAGCAGCGGUAAGUGAACAUUUUCGUGUGCCGUAGGGUUGCUUGGUAGGAGCUAACUAGGAGGUUACCGCUUGGGAGCGCAAUAUUCGAAGAUAGGUGCACGG